rnacentral:lncRNA from 1 species
AGUAAAGAAAGCAGCUUGCCAACUUGUUCAUCCAAUUGCUCUAAAUAAUCUCUUUCCAGGAAUCAAGUGAUUCAAGAGGCAGGGACUGUUGCUUCUUCAUUUCACUGUCUAAAGGAACCAUAUGUUACCAUUCUUAUUCAGAGGGGAACACUCCUGAGGAUCUUGAUUAAAGGCAACUCAUGCCACCAACGGUAUUUCUAUGAUCUACCUACUAUGGAGCUGAAAAGUAAAGAUGGAAAUAAGCCUAUCUACAAACAGGAUGCUCUCUAUCAAGAGUCAUGAGAAUUGUCUUCAGAGGGUGCUGAAGAGACAUCAACCUGUCUUCUUUGAGACUCCUAGUGUUGGUGUGGAAGAUGCUACUGGAGACAACAGGUUCCUCCAGGCCUGAUUGCUUGGUCAAUUGUGCUCCUCAUUUCACAGAUGAAGAAACUCAGGCCCAGAUGGGUUAAGAACUUGUAGCGUAGCAGGACCAAGAACUGAACCCAAACUCCUGACUCCUAGCCCAGUGCUCUUCAACACUGUCUGGAUUUGAAUGAAGAUCCUUCCAUCAUCACCAUCUCAAUCCAGCAAGCAUUUCUGUGAUGUACCACCAUGCCACUCUCGCCACUGUCUGGGAGACACCUGAUUGCUAGAUGCCU